rnacentral:misc_RNA from 1 species
CUCGGUGCCCGUCGCAACGCUACGCUACAAAAGCGUAAAGUCGCAUGAGUUUUAGCGUGCGCUCGGUGCGUGUGACGCCACCCGGUGCGUGCGAGCUGCAGCAAUGUGCGAUUGGCGACGGCUGCCGCCGACGCUGCUGCGAAUCUGCAGCCGGGGCGGCCGCUGGUGGAGACAGACGUUCCGGCCGACGCCGCUCACGGAUGAAGAUGUGGAGACGACUUCGGGCAUCACGGAGGAAGUGGAAGGAGGUCUAGUGGAGCACCGAAUUAUAUUUGUGAACCGUCCACAACCAAGCAAAUACUGCAGUAAUCACAUCUCCACUGCCAAAUACAACAUGCUCUCUUUUGUACCAAGCUUCCUUUUUGAGCAGUUUCGGCGUUACUCCAACAUCUUUUUUCUGUUCAUCGCACUGUUGCAGCAAAUUCCUGAUGUGUCUCCUACUGGACGGUAUACCACAUUGGUGCCUCUAGUGUUCAUCCUUAGUGUAUCAGCUAUAAAGGAGAUUAUUGAAGAUGUUAAAAGGCAUCAUGCAGACAAUGAAAUCAAUCAUCGUGAUGUUGAAGUGUUAAGAGAUGGUCACUGGCUUUGGAUACAGUGGCGAAAUGUAGUGGUGGGAGAUAUUGUUAAAGUGCACAACAAUCAGUUUUUUCCAGCAGACCUCAUUAUCCUGUCAUCAAGUGAACCACAAGCAAUUUGCUACAUUGAAACUUCAAACCUGGAUGGAGAAACUAACUUGAAAAUCAGACAGGCACUGCCUGACACAGCGCACCUUUUGGAAACAAAAGAUUUGACACAAUUCACUGGAACACUGGAAUGUGAGCUCCCAAAUCGUCAUUUAUACGAGUUCACAGGAAUCUUGAAAGAAACAAACAAACAGACAUUACCACUGGGACCUGACCAGCUUUUACUUAGAGGUGCAAUGCUGCGCAAUACCAGCUGGAUAUUUGGCCUUGUGGUAUAUACUGGUCAUGAGACCAAACUCAUGAAGAAUUCUACCUCAGCUCCACUGAAACGUUCUACUGUUGAUAAGCUCACAAACACACAGAUACUGAUGUUGUUCUUCAUACUUAUUGUUCUGUGUCUGCUUUCUGCUAUAUUUAAUGAAAUAUGGACUAAGGAACAUGCAAGAACAGACUGGUAUAUUGGUAUUGAUGAAAUGAUUAAUCUCAACUUCGGGUAUAAUCUUCUGACAUUCAUAAUAUUGUACAACAACCUGAUACCAAUAUCCUUACAAGUUUCUCUUGAGGUUGUUCGUUUUGUACAGGCUAUUUUUAUUAAUAUGGAUAUUGAUAUGUACCACGAAGAAAGUGAUACACCAGCUAUGGCAAGGACAUCAAAUCUGAAUGAAGAGCUAGGACAGGUGAAGUAUAUAUUCUCAGAUAAGACUGGCACACUUACAAGAAAUAUAAUGGAUUUCAAGAAGUGCUCCAUAGCUGAACAAAUUUAUACUUUAGCAGAUAAUCCAAAUGACACACAGUUAGUGAAGAAUUUGCAGUCUGGUCAUCCUUCAGCUCUCUACCUUAGAGAAUUCCUUAUUCUUAUGUCCGUUUGUCAUACAGUCAUUCCGGAGAGGAGUAAGGAUACAAUUAUAUAUAAUGCUGCCUCACCAGAUGAGAGGGCUCUUGUUCGUGGUGCCUGCCUUUUUGGCUAUGUUUUUGACACCAGGACACCACAUCAUGUAGAAAUAAGUGCUUUGGGAACUAGAGAGCGAUAUGAAAUUCUGAAUGUCUUGGAAUUUACAAGCAGUAGGAAAAGAAUGUCAGUCAUUACACGGAAUUCAGCUGGUGAAAUAAAGUUAUAUUGUAAAGGUGCAGACACUGUGAUAUAUGAAAGGUUAUCUCCAGAUGGGCAACAGUUCCGUGAGGCAACUCUCAGACACCUGGAAGAAUUUGCUACUGAAGGGCUUAGAACAUUGUGUUGCGCAGUUGCCAACAUAUCAGAAGAGGCCUAUGAGGAAUGGAAAAACACUUACCAUAAAGCAAGCACUUCAAUGCAGUAUCGGGAGAGGAAGUUAGAAGAUGCAGCAAAUUUAAUAGAAAAUAACCUAACACUUCUGGGAGCAACAGCUAUAGAAGACAAAUUACAAGAUCAGGUGCCUGAAACAAUAGCAGCCCUCAUUAAAGCUGAUAUACGUGUUUGGGUAUUGACGGGGGAUAAACAAGAAACUGCUAUUAAUAUUGGCUAUUCAUGUAAGCUAAUAGUUCAUGGAACACCACUACUGAUACUGAAUGAAGAUAGCCUUGAUAGUACACGAGAAACAAUAGCACGCCAUAGUUCAGAAUUUGGUGACCAGUUGGGCAAAUCAAAUGAUGUUGCUCUUGUUAUUGAUGGGAAAACUCUAAAAUAUGCCCUCAGUUGUGAUGUGAGAAGGGAUUUUCUUGACCUCUGUGUCAGUUGCAAUGUGGUUAUCUGCUGCCGUGUCUCCCCAAUGCAGAAGGCUGAGGUUGUGGAACUUGUUACAUCACAUACGAAAAGUAUUACACUGGCUAUAGGAGAUGGUGCAAAUGAUGUUGCUAUGAUCCAAAAAGCUCAUGUUGGAGUUGGAAUCUCAGGAGUUGAAGGUCUCCAAGCAGCAUGCGCAUCUGAUUAUUCGAUAGCACAGUUUCGAUUUCUUCUGAAGCUGCUUUUUGUUCAUGGAGCAUGGAACUACAAUCGAAUGUGCAAAUUAAUAUUGUACAGCUUUUACAAAAACAUAUGCCUUUACGUAAUUGAACUGUGGUUUGCAAUAUAUUCAGGGUGGUCAGGACAAAUCCUGUUUGAGCGUUGGUCUAUUGGGUUAUACAAUGUGUUGUUCACAGCAGCUCCACCACUUGCACUGGGUCUGUUUGACAAAGUCUGUUCUGCUGAGACAAUGCUGAAGUAUCCUGCUCUGUACAAACCAUCUCAGAAUGCUGAUCUGUUCAAUGUUAGAGUUUUCUGGGUAUGGAUCCUCAAUGCUCUUGUACACUCAGUACUGCUGUACUGGCUACCAUUAUUUGCUCUGCAGAAAGAUGUUAUAUGGGCCAAUGGACGAGAAGGUGGUUAUCUGCUUCUAGGAAAUAUUGUGUAUACGUAUGUCGUAGUGACAGUAUGUUUGAAGGCUGGCUUGGUGACAAAUGCGUGGACGUGGCUCACUCAUCUUGCAAUCUGGGGCUCAAUUGCCAUGUGGUUUAUCUUUGUUGCUGUGUACAGUAAUUUUUGGCCUGUCAUCCCUGUUGGAGCUGUUAUGCUGGGAAUGGAUCGAAUGAUGUGUACUUCACCUGUUUUUUGGCUUGGACUCAUUCUCAUCCCAUUUAGUACACUGAUAGCAGAUGUGUCCUACAAGGUCAUCCAUUCGACAGCAUUUAAAUCACUUACAGAAGCUGCAAGGGAAAGUGAAAUCAGGAAAACAGACCCAGGAAAUGUUAUAAUGAGGGAAACAAGGCACUCUUACGUGGCAUGGCACAGAUGAAGAUCGCAUCACAUCACCACUCUGUUGCUCUCAUCACAGGAACCAAUGCAGAUUCCACACACGACUUAGGUGUUGAUGUAUUUUGCAGUUUCACUCCUCAUAGUCCCAAAGUACAACUUUCUGGAUGAUGUAGGAGACAUCAAUUAAACUGACGGAAACAGCAAGGCUCCUGAAGAAUGUGAGAAGUGUAUUUUCAUUCAACCGACGCUCUGCCACCAGGGUAAAUAUGGAAGUGGAACUCUCUCAUGGCUUUGCAUUUUCUCAAGAAGAAGGUGGUGCUGUC